UACGGGGGGGGCAAGCGUUGUUCGGAAUUACCGGGCGUAAAGGGUGCGUAGGCGGUUCGCUAAGUUGGAUGUGAAAACUCUGGGCCUAACCCAGAGCCUGCAUCCAAUACUGACGAGCUAGAGUUCUGGAGGGGGUAGCGGAAUUCCUGGUGUAGCGGUGAAAUGCGUAGAUAUCAGGAGGAACACCGGUGGCGAAGGCGGCUACCUGGACAGAGUCUGACGCUGAGGCACGAAAGCUAGGGGAGCAAACAGG
rnacentral:rRNA from 1 species